UCCUAUCUUGUUGGCACACACAUUCCCUAU
rnacentral:piRNA from 2 species